UACGGAGGGUGCAAGCGUUAUCCGGAUUCACUGGGUUUAAAGGGUGCGUAGGCGGACAGGUAAGUCAGUGGUGAAAUCUCCGGGCUCAACCCGGAAACUGCCAUUGAUACUAUUGGUCUUGAAUGUUGUUGAGGUGGGCGGAACGGGUCAUGUAGCGGUGAAAUGCAUAGAUAUGACCCGGAACACCGAUCGCGAAGGCAGCCCACUAAGCAAUGAUUGACGCUGAGGCACGAAAGCGUGGGGAGCAAACAGG
rnacentral:rRNA from 1 species